UCGAGAAUUUUUCACAAUGGGCGCAAGCCUGAUGGAGCGACGCCGCGUGGGGGAUGAAGGGUUUCGAUCCGUAAACCCCUGUCAUUUGCGAACAAACCUUAAUUGUGAAUAGCGAUUAAGCUGAUUGUAGCGAAAGAGGAAGGGACGGCUAACUCUGUGCCAGCAGCCGCGGUAAUACAGAGGUCCCAAGCGUUGUUCGGAUUCACUGGGCGUAAAGGGUGCGUAGGUGGCCGGGUAAGUUCGGUGUGAAAGCUCGGAGCUUAACUCCGAAAUGGCAUUGAAUACUAUCCGGCUAGAGGGUCGGAGGGGAGACUGGAAUUCUCGGUGUAGCAGUGAAAUGCGUAGAUAUCGAGAGGAACACCAGUGGCGAAGGCGAGUCUCUGGACGACUCCUGACACUGAGGCACGAAAGCUAGGGGAGCAAACAG
rnacentral:rRNA from 1 species